UGGGGAAUUUUGGACAAUGGGCGAAAGCCUGAUCCAGCCAUGCCGCGUGCGGGAAGAAGGCCUUCGGGUUGUAAACCGCUUUAGUCCGGGAAAAAGGGCUGACGUGCUAAUACCUUCGUGCUUUGAUGGUACUGGAAGAAUAAGCACCGGCUAACUACGUGCCAGCAGCCGCGGUAAUACGUAGGGUGCGAGCGUUAAUCGGAAUUACUGGGCGUAAAGCGUGCGCAGGCGGUCUUGUAAGACAGUUGUGAAAGCCCCGGGCUUAACCUGGGAACUGCAAUUGUGACUGCAAGGCUAGAGUGUGUCAGAGGGGGGUGGAAUUCCACGUGUAGCAGUGAAAUGCGUAGAGAUGUGGAGGAACACCGAUGGCGAAGGCAGUCCCCUGGGAUAACACUGACGCUCAUGCACGAAAGCGUGGGGAGCAAACA
rnacentral:rRNA from 1 species